rnacentral:rRNA from 1 species
UACGUAGGGGGCAAGCGUUGUCCGGAAUCACUGGGCUUAAAGCGUGUGUAGGCGGCGGCCUAAGUACCUUGUGAAAUCCCACGGCUCACCCGUGGAACUGCUCGGUAUACUGGGUCGCUUGAGCCACUUAGGGGCUACCGGAACAAAUGGUGGAGCGGUGAAAUGCGUAGAUAUCAUUUGGAACGCCAAUGGUGAAAACAGGUAGCUGGGAGUGUGCUGACGCUGAGACACGAAAGCCAGGGGAGCAAACGGG